AUGCGGUCCACUGGUCCCUCGAGCCCGUGCACACCUCCAAGAACGACGCCCCCAAGGGGGGAACGAAAUAAGAACGCCGCCGCCUUCCGAUCAACUGAUCUAGGGUUUCCUCCAGAGGUAGCAGACAGUGACCUUGAAACUCUCCUCGGCGAUGCCUUCAAGAAGGGAACGUCGCAAAAUAGCACCGCCACUGCCGGCUUUGGCAGUAAGCCGAAAGCAAGUUUUCACCCGGAUCUGUUCGAAGGACCUCCAUCAAGCAUCUCGUGCACGGAUCGCCGCCAUCUCUGCCGGGGACUGGACGAUGGAUCCAGGGCGCCGCCGCCUGACCGGCCACGGCACCUCCGCGGUGCCUAA
rnacentral:rRNA from 1 species